ensembl:lncRNA
AUGGAAUAUCUACAGAGGCGUACAGAGGCCCAUUAUCAGCAACCCAUCACUCCUGUGUUCCAAUGGCACGCUCUCUCUCUCCCACCUCUCUCUCUGCCACCUCUCUCUCUCUCUCCCACCUCUCUCUCUCUCUCCCACCUCUCUCUCUCUCUCCCACCUCUCCCCCCUUUCUCUCUCUUCCACCUCUCUCUCUCUCUCUUCCUCUCUCUCUCCCACCUCUCUCUCUCUCUCUCCCACCUCUCCCCCUCCCUCUCUCUCUCUCUUCCACCUCUCUCUCUCUCCCACCUCUCUGUCUCUCUCUCUCUGCCACCUCUCUCUCUCUCUCUCUCUCUCUCUCUCUCUCUCUCUCUCUCUCUCUCUCUCUCUCUCUCUCACUCUCUCUCCUCUCUCUCUCACUCUCUCUAUCCCCUCUCUCUCUCUCUAUCCCUCUCUCUCUCUCUCUCCCACCUCUCUCUCUCUCUCUCUCUUUCUCCCACCUCUCUCUCUCUCCCACCUCUCUCUCUCUCUCCCACCUCUCCCUCUCUCUCUCUCCCACCUCUCUCUCUCUCUCUCUCCCACCUCUCUCUCUCUCUCUCUCUCUCUCCCACCUCUCUCUCUCUCUCCCAACUCUCUCUCUCUCUCUCCCACCUCUGUCUCUCUCUCUCUUCCACCUCUCUCUCUCUCCCACCUCUCUCUCUCUCUCUCUUCCACCUCUCUCUCUCUCCCACCUCUCUCUCUCUCUCUCUCCCACCUCUCUCUCUCUCUCCCACCUCUCUCUCUCUCCCACCUCUCCCCCCUUUCUCUCUCUUCCACCUCUCUCUCUCUCUCUUCCUCUCUCUCUCCCACCUCUCUCUCUCUCUCUCUCUCUCCCAGCUCUCCCCCUCCACCUCUCUCUCUCUCCCACCUCUCUGUCUCUCUCUCUCUGCCACCUCUCUCUCUCUCUCUUCCUCUCUCUCUCCCACCUCUCUCUCUCUCUCCCACCUCUCCCCCUCUUCCACCUCUCUCUCUCUCCCACUUCUCUCCCUCUCUCUCCCACCUCUCUCUCUGCCACCUCUCUCUCUGCCACCUCUCUCUCUCUCUCUCUUCGUCUCUCUCCCACCUCUCCCCCUCCCUCUCUCUCUCUCUCUUCCACCUCUCUCUCUCUCCCACCUCUCUGUCUCUCUCUCUCUCUGCCACCUCUCUCUCUCUUCCUCUCUCUCUCCCUUCCUCUCUCUCUCCCACCUCUCCCCCUCUUCCACCUCUCUCUAUCUCUCUCCCACCUCUCUGUCUCUCUCUCUCUCUCCCACCUCUCUCUCUCUCUCUCUCCCACCUCUCUCUCUGCCACCUCCCUCUCUCUCUUCGUCUCUCUCCCACCUCUCUCUCUCUCUCCCACCUCUUCCCCUCCCUCUCUCUCUCUCUCUCUCUUCCACCUCUCUCUCUCUCUCCCACCUCUCUGUCUCUCUCUCUCUCUCUGCCACCUCUCUCUCUCUCUCUUCAUCUCUCUCUCCCACCUCUCUCUCUCUCUCCCACCUCUCGCCCUCUUCCACCUCUCUCUCUCUCUCCCACUUCUCUCUCUCCCACCUCUCUCUCUCUCUCUACGAGAACUGCACACAACGUGAGGGUAAGCAGUGCCUGUAA